rnacentral:rRNA from 1 species
AGUGAACGCUGGCGGUAGGCCUAACACAUGCAAGUCGAACGGCAGCACAGUAAGAGCUCGCUCUUACGGGUGGCGAGUGGCGGACGGGUGAGGCAUACAUCGGAAUCUACUUUUUCGUGGGGGACAACGUAGGGACACUUACGCUAAUACCGCAUACGUCCUACGGGUGAAAGCAGGGGAUCUUCGGACCUUGCGUGAUUGAAUGAGCCGAUGUCGGAUUAGCUAGUUGGCGGGGUAAAGGCCCACCAAGGCGACGAUCCGUAGCUGAUCUGAGAGGAUGAUCAGCCACACUGGAACUGAGACACGGUCCAGACUCCUACGGGAGGCAGCAGUAGGGAAUAUUGGACAAUGGGCGCAAGCCUGAUCCAGCCAUACCGCGUGAGUGAAGAAGGCCUUCGGGUUGUAAAGCCCUGUUAUUGGGGAAGAAAAGCAGCAUGUGAAUACCCCGCUGUUCUGACGGUACCCAAAGAAUAAGCACCGGCUAACUUCGUG